GACGAACGCUGGCGGCGUGCUUAACACAUGCAAGUCGAACGGAAAGGCCUCUUUCGGGGGGUACUCGAGUGGCGAACGGGUGAGUAACACGUGAGUAACCUGCCCCUGACAUUGGGAUAACUUCAGGAAACUGGGGCUAAUACCGGAUAGGAGCUCCUACCGCAUGGUGGGGGUUGGAAAGUUUCGGCGGCUGGGGGUGGACUCGCGGCUUAUCAGCUUGGUGGUGGGGUAGUGGCUUACCAAGGCUUUGACGGGUAGCCGGCCUGUGCGGGUGACCGGCCACAUUGGGUGUGAGAUACGGCCCAGCCACCUACGGGCGGCAGCCGUGGGGAGUGUUGCACAAUGGGUGGGAGCCUGAUGCAGCAACGCCGUGUGCGGGAUGACGGCCUUCGGGUUGUAAGCCGCUUUCGCUCCUGACGAAGCUUUGUGUGACGGUAGUGGGUAAAGAAGCACCGGCUAACUACGUG
rnacentral:rRNA from 1 species